CUCUUCUUAUUUAUCCCUAUGGUCAACAGAUCAGACAAUCAGGAUACUGGGACUGAGCAGUGUCUUCACUUGGACCCCCUGGAAGUUUGGGAAAUGUUGCUGUAUCAAUGUGCAGCUGGAGAAGCCAAAGCCUCUGAAGCAGAGCAGGCGCACUCAGAACUGGACAAGCUGGAGCAAGAGCUUCAAGCUGAGAUGGUUGAAGUUGCUCUGGAAUCACUGCAAGAGGAUCUGCAGCUCUGAUCCUUUGAGGAGCAAAUGCUGGAGGUGCUUUGCCUCUUGAAGCCCAACAAUAAGCAGCAGUAAAUAUGCAAUUCUGUGUGCAAUGUGUCUGUUCCUGUGGAAGGUGAAUUUUUUUAAAAUUCAAUUACACAUAAAUAUAAAUAAAGCAA